GAUGAACGCUGGCGGCGUGCCUAAUACAUGCAAGUCGAGCGAACAGACGAGGAGCUUGCUCCUCUGACGUUAGCGGCGGAUGGGUGAGUAACACGUGGAUAACCUACCUAUAAGACUGGGAUAACUUCGGGAAACCGGAGCUAAUACCGGAUAAUAUAUUGAACCGCAUGGUUCAAUAGUGGAAGACGGUUUUGCUGUCACUUAUAGAUGGAUCCGCGCCGCAUUAGCUAGUUGGUAAGGUAACGGCUUACCAAGGCGACGAUGCGUAGCCGACCUGAGAGGGUGAUCGGCCACACUGGAACUGAGACACGGUCCAGACUCCUACGGGAGGCAGCAGUAGGGAAUCUUCCGCAAUGGGCGAAAGCCUGACGGAGCAACGCCGCGUGAGUGAUGAAGGUCUUCGGAUCGUAAAACUCUGUUAUUAGGGAAGAACAAAUGUGUAAGUAACUAUGCACGUCUUGACGGUACCUAACCAGAAAGCCACGGCUAACUACGUG
rnacentral:rRNA from 1 species